UGUUGUUGUUGAUGUGUUGUUGAGUUGAGGGAGGGGUCUUGAUGUGAAGAAGCCCUUAUAAGCAGGUCCACUUCCCCAGGACUCCAGGUUCAGGCUGGGACAGAAGAAGAAGAUCCUCUGUGUCUAGGUUUGAAUGAAUGACUUUAGUCAUGUGAUCAGAUGAGAACUGUUCUGACUUUAAAUGUCCGUCUCUGUAUCCAGUGGAAACCAUGGUCUCCAUCAUGGGAAUGCUGGCCGUGUGUGUGCUGGUCUGUGCUGUGAUGGUUCAGAUCAAAGCUGCUGCUGUCCAGGACGCUGAUGUAAAGAAGUCUGAAGCUACAAGCGAUCUGGUGAAGCGUUCGGGGCGUUGUGGUGACAACUGGUCACAGAUCAAUAAUCGCUGCUUCCGCUUCUUUCCUAGAGUCAAGAGAUGGGCUGAAGCUGAA